UACAGAGGUGGCAAGCGUUGUUCGGAAUUACUGGGCGUAAAGGGCGCGUAGGCGGCUUUUUAAGUCAGACGUGAAAUCCCCCGGCUUAACCUGGGAACUGCGUCUGAUACUGGGAAGCUUGAGUGUGGCAGAGGGGGGUGGAAUUCCACGUGUAGCAGUGAAAUGCGUAGAUAUGUGGAGGAACACCGAUGGCGAAGGCAGCCCCCUGGGUUAACACUGACGCUCAUGCACGAAAGCGUGGGGAGCAAACAGG
rnacentral:rRNA from 1 species